GGGGCGCCCGGGCGGGGACGCGCGCAGGUUCGCGCGGCUCCGGCCCCUCUGCCCGCGCCCCGGACCCGCCCCCGCGGCGCAUCGGCUUCUGUUUACUUUCGAUCGAGUUUUUCCUGCUCGGGGCAGGUGCCCAGGGCGGCUCCAGGCGGCGGUUACGCGCGGCCCCCCGCGCCGCUCUUUCGCGCUGCCUGCGCGGGGCAAGGCGCUUCGCGGGCGCUCCAGGCGCGCUGACGGGCGUCCCGUUUGUGCCCAGGUGAUGACGGCGGCGGCAUGGAGUUCCCCGAGCACGGCGGGCGGCUGCUGGGCCGCCUGAGGCAGCAGCGCGAGCUGGGCUUCCUGUGCGACUGCACCGUGCUGGUGGGCGACGCGCGCUUCCCGGCCCACCGCGCCGUGCUGGCCGCGUGCAGCGUCUACUUCCAUCUCUUCUACAGGGACCGGCCCGCGGGCAGCCGCGACACAGUGCGGCUCAACGGCGACAUCGUCACGGCGCCCGCCUUCGGCCGUCUGCUAGACUUCAUGUACGAGGGCCGCCUGGACCUGCGCAGCCUGCCUGUCGAGGACGUGCUAGCCGCCGCCAGCUACCUGCACAUGUAUGACAUCGUCAAGGUCUGCAAGGGCAGGCUCAGGGACAAGGACCGAAAGCUGGACCUGGAGACCCCUGCCCCUCGCACGGAGCGACCUUGUCAGCCACCAUGUCCCUGGCCUGCCUGGACUCCUGACCUCUGCCCAGCCGCCCAGAAGACCAAGCUCCCUGGGGUUGGGGUCAAGGCUGCCCUCCCUCUGCAAGCAUCCGGGCCUCCUCCCUGGCAGGUCCCAGGAGAGUCAGACCAGGCCCUGGACCUGUCCCUGAAGCCCAGCCAAAGGCAGGAGGUGGUCCACCCACCCUGUGUCCUCCAGACACCCCUCUGCAGCCGGCUGCAGCAAGGACCCCGGCCACUGGUGAAGGACGAGCAGGACUCACGGUCCGAACAGGACAGCGGCAGCCCCAGGACCCCCCACAGCCCCCUGAAGCCACCUUGUGUUCCUGCAGCCAAGGGCCUGGCAGAGGGCUUGGAGCCACUGCCCGUCAGUAGCAGCCGGGAGCUGGAGCUGGAUGCAGAGCGGGUGGCGAGUGAGGGUGAGCUGGAGCCUGGGGGGCACCUCUGCAUCUGCCCCCUGUGUAGCAAGCUGUUCCCCAGCCCCCACGUGCUGCAGCCGCACCUCAGCGCCCACUUCCGUGAGCGGGACGGCCCUCGGACCCGGCUCUCGCCCAACGGCACCGUGCCCACGUGCCCGCUGUGCAGGAAGACCUUCUCGUGCACAUACACGCUGAAGAGGCACGAGCGGACACACUCGGGCGAGAAGCCCUACACCUGCGUGCAGUGCGGCAAGAGCUUCCAGUACUCGCACAACCUGAGCCGGCACGCGGUGGUGCACACUCGGGAGAAGCCCCACGCCUGCCGCUGGUGCGAGCGCCGGUUCACGCAGUCUGGAGACCUGUACCGUCACGUCCGCAAGUUCCACUGUGGCCUCGUGAAGUCCCUGCUGGUGUGAUGUGUCCCUGUGGGUCCUGGGGGUGGCGCGGAAGGGAAGGGGCAGGGCAGGUGGUACACUGGAAUGGACCAGGUGGGGGCCUCUGAGGCUGGACCCUCGCUGCACAAGGCACACUGCCGCUUCCGGAACGUGGGUCAGGAUGACUUUGGCAGCCUUCCUCCUGCUUUGCCUCCCCUCCCCCCACUCCAGCUCACUCCUGCCCCCAGGCUGUGCCCUGCCCAGACUGCCACCGUCUUCCUCUCACCCUCCCCUCCAGCCAAGUUCCCAGGGUGUCCAGCGGGCACCUGGCUUCUGCCCAGGUCCCUGGGUGUGGGGCGGCACAUUUGUCUUGUGUCCAGGACGUUCCUUACCACCUCUCUGUCAUAUUGAGCCUGGCCCCAUGCUAGGUGAAUGAUUCUUGCGUCAGAAAAGUUCUUAGUGUGAGUCCCAAUGGGGCGCUCAAAGGGAACAGGCCACUCCUGGUGGGUGGCAGCAGGAACCCCUGCUGGGAAGGCCUAGGGCAGGAAGAGUGCCAGGAGGGGCCAUCUGGGCACAGCUGGUGUCACAGGGGGGUGCAGCCCCAGUGGGGAUCCCAGACAGCAGGAGUGGAGCCAACUAGAGGCUGAGUGGCCCUGGAGCUACCCUCACUGGGGUGGGACCUGGGUCCUGACUGCACUGUACCUUUGGGCAGAGAAAGUGGGAAUUUGGAAAUGGCUUCCCUUUAGACCCAGAAAGAGGAUCCCCGAGGUUGCCAGGUGUCUGCUGGUGGGGCUGUGCUGCCCUCUAGCCUUAGCGUGGGUCUGGGGGCCUCUGAGUGUCUCUGGAGGUGGCAGGGGUGAGGCAGGGCAGGGGGGGAGACGACGGCAGCCCCCACCCUGAGCCAGGCUCUGUGUGUUGCAGACUGUUGCUGGGCCAGGUGGGCCUAGGGGUCUCUCCGGAGCUGUGGUCAUUUUCAGAGCCCCGGGCAGGGGCCACAGUCUGCCAGCAGCAAUGUUUGCAUGGCUUCCCGUGGCCAUGGGAGGGGAUGCGAGUGACAGUGGCUGUGCAGUGGGGAGGGGGGCUGGCACUCCCGGAACGUGAACGGCCAGGCUUUGCGUUUGCAGUUGGUUCCGGCCCCCUGCUUCCCCACCCACUCACCAAGCAAAUCCUGCCAGGGGACCUCACUGGCACUGGCGUUGGCUCGGGCAGAAGGACACGUGGCCUGCAGCAGGUGGACACUUCCAGGGUUCAUUCCCGGGUGCCGGACUCCCCAGGUGUGCAGGCG